rnacentral:rRNA from 1 species
CCUACGGGAGGCAGCAGUGAGGAAUAUUGGUCAAUGGGCGCGAGCCUGAACCAGCCAAGUCGCGUGAGGGAAGACGGUCCUAUGGAUUGUAAACUUCUUUUGUCAGGGAGUAAAACACGCCACGCGUGCCGUUCUGAGAGUACCCGAUGAAAAAGCAUCGGCUAACUCCGUGCCAGCAGCCGCGGUAAUACGGAGGAUGCGAGCGUUAUCCGGAUUUAUUGGGUUUAAAGGGUGCGCAGGCGGGAGUUCAAGUCAGUGGUAAAAUUUUGAGGCUCAACCUCUACGAGCCGUUGAAACUGGUUGUCUUGAGUGAGUGAGAGGUAUGCGGAAUGCGUGGUGUAGCGGUGAAAUGCAUAGAUAUCACGCAGAACUCCGAUUGCGAAGGCAGCAUACCGGCGCUCAACUGACGCUGAUGCACGAAAGUGUGGGUAUCGAACAGGAUUAGAUACCCCAGUAGUC